rnacentral:rRNA from 1 species
GCACAAGCGGAGGAGCAUGUGGUUUAAUUCGAUGAUACGCGAGGAACCUUACCUGGGCUCGAACGUAAGAUGACUGUAGGUGAAAGCUUACAUCUCUUCGGAGCAUUUUACGAGGUGCUGCAUGGCUGUCGUCAGCUCGUGUCGUGAGAUGUUGGGUUAAGUCCCGCAACGAGCGCAACCCUUGCCUUUAGUUGCCAGCAGUUCGGCUGGGCACCCUAAAGGGACUGCCGGUGUUAAACCGGAGGAAGGUGGGGAUGACGUCAAGUCCUCAUGGCCUUUAUGACCAGGGCUACACACGUACUACAAUGGCCGAUACAAAGGGCAGCGACACUGCGAGGUGAAGCCAAUCCCGUAAAAUCGGUCUCAGUCCGGAUUGGAGUCUGCAACUCGACUCCAUGAAGUUGGAAUCGCUAGUAAUCGCGCAUCAGCAUGGCGCGGUGAAUACGUUCCCGGGCCUU